UUUAAGGCGCGUCUGGUAGCUAAGGAUUAUAAACAAAAGAAGGAUAUAGAUUAUUUUGAUACUUUUGCUCCUGUAAGUAGAAUUUCCUCAAUUAGAGUUCUUAUUGCAUUGGCAUCCAUUCAUAAUCUUGUCAUUCAUCAAAUGGAUGUUAAAACUGCAUUUCUGAAUGGCGAAUUGGAAGAGGAGAUUUACAUGGACCAACCCGAAGGAUAUACCGUUGAAGGGCAGGAGCAUAAGGUAUGUAAGCUUGUAAAAUCUUUAUAUGGUUUGAAACAAGCUCCUAAGCAAUGGCAUGAUAAAUUUGACAAACACUACAAAAAAGAAUUCAAUUGGCUUCACUACUUUGCGUAGCAAGCAGUUGUCGUCGCCAAUAGCUCCUUAUUUGGGCCGUCGGCAAAAUUGGGCCGUCGCAAAGAUACUGAAAGUUCGCCACCGCGUUAAUAUGUCGUGGUAGUAGCAGUCGCGAAAAAAUGAUUUAUGCUUCGGCAAAACUUUGCUGUCGCAAAGUCUUUUGUCAAUUGCAACUGCUGGAGGUGCCGUCGCGUUACUACACGGUUGUGAAACUUAUCCACUCCAAUUUAAAAAAACAGAUACUCUCUCUCUCUUUGAAGCCUUCAGCUUUGUUCUUUUUCAUUCUGGAUCUGAUCCGUAGUCGCUUAAUCUCGAGGCCCCGAUCUAUCGUUAGCUGAGGUUAGAUGUUGCUCGGGUUUUGGCAAUUAAAAACCCAAGCUUGAGCCCUUCGAUCUCUCUUCAUGAAACCCUAAAAUCCCAUUCCUAGAUGCCAAGUUCUCUGCUAGUUUAGUUCCUGUCGAAUCUAUGCCUUCUCUUCUCUGGCAGAAAUUGCCGUGUCCUAAAUACAACCCUACUUUUGGUCAAAUGCAAAUAAGGGCACUUUUCUAUUCUCAUUGCAGAGCAUUGGUAUCCAAGAUUAUGAACUUCCUGCAACGAAGGUAAAGUUUUCAAUCAACAUCUCAAUUUGCCCAGAUAAAUUCUUUAUCAGUAAUUUCUUAUUUAGAUUCCAUGCCUUUGUUGUUUAACUUUACAACUUUGCCAUUAAUGUUGUGCAUUUUAGUUUCCAAAUUAAAUCCCAGAUCCAUGUUAGUCAAAGUUCUACAGCUUUGGCUAACUUGGUAGCUUAAUUUUGCAGCAAUGGCUCCUGGGAGUUUUGCAGCUUGAAUCUUCUAUUGCAUAUUGUAGAUCUAAAGUUCUUCUGAUCUUGCAAUUCAUAUCUCUCUCCCUCCAUCUGCAUUAGAUUUUUGUAUUUACUUUUUUGUUAAUCUGUGUUUUGCUAGUUCCUUAUUCUUUUGGUUAUGAGAAAUACCAAUGCCUUAAGUACAAAUUCAAUUUAGAUCGCGACGCAAGCAGAAAUACUCCAGUUCAUCACCCAUAACUUUCUACAACGAGUUACAGGAAUAUUUUAUGGUCUAUGAAGGACGUAUGAGUUGAAGGGAGCUUGGGGAUGACAUACAAACCAUGGUUACUGUUGAUAGGCUAUUCACACAAGUCAGUUCAUUUCUAGCUCUGGCAGUAACUGUUGCUACGGAAGUUGUCAAAACAAUGGUUGCCAAGGGAUAUGUUCUGGGACAAGAUGCAUUAAUCAAGGGGAUUUGUCAAAACAAUGAGUCCUAUCAAGUAUCGGCUGCUGCAACAUCCAAGUUUUAUGAGUUAGCAAUUGAAUAUGGCUCAUCAAGGCAAAGAAGCUUUUCAAUCACCUCAAUAGCUCAGAGUAUGUAGGUCAUGAUACUUAGCCUACCGGGCGUCAGUAUUAUGUAUUUCAAUUUUUGAUUGUUUUUGUAUUUUUCAAGAUUGGUGAAGUUGUAUGAAAUGUAUAGAAAUAAUGUGAAAAAACAUAUGAAAUUUAUGAUUUA